UGGGGGAUAUUGCACAAUGGGCGAAAGCCUGAUGCAGCGACGCCGCGUGAGGGAAGACGGUUUUCGGAUUGUAAACCUCUGUCUUCGGGGACGAAAAUGACGGUACCUGAGUAAGAAGCCCCGGCUAACUACGUGCCAGCAGCCGCGGUAAUACGUAGGGGGCAAGCGUUAUCCGGAUUUACUGGGUGUAAAGGGAGCGUAGACGGCAGGGCAAGUCUGAAGUGAAAGGCGGGGGCUCAACCCCCGGACUGCUUUGGAAACUGUCCGGCUGGAGUGCAGGAGAGGUAAGUGGAAUUCCUAGUGUAGCGGUGAAAUGCGUAGAUAUUAGGAGGAACACCAGUGGCGAAGGCGGCUUACUGGACUGUAACUGACGUUGAGGCUCGAAAGCGUGGGGAGCAAACAGGAUUAGAUACCCUGGUAGU
rnacentral:rRNA from 1 species